rnacentral:rRNA from 1 species
ACGCUUUUUCUUUCACCCGAGCUUGCUCCACCGAAAGAAAAAGAGUGGCGAACGGGUGAGUAACACGUGGGUAACCUGCCCAUCAGAAGGGGAUAACACUUGGAAACAGGUGCUAAUACCGUAUAACACUAUUUUCCGCAUGGAAGAAAGUUGAAAGGCGCUUUUGCGUCACUGAUGGAUGGACCCGCGGUGCAUUAGCUAGUUGGUGAGGUAACGGCUCACCAAGGCAACGAUGCAUAGCCGACCUGAGAGGGUGAUCGGCCACACUGGGACUGAGACACGGCCCAGACUCCUACGGGAGGCAGCAGUAGGGAAUCUUCGGCAAUGGACGAAAGUCUGACCGAGCAACGCCGCGUGAGUGAAGAAGGUUUUCGGAUCGUAAAACUCUGUUGUUAGAGAAGAACAAGGAUGAGAGUAAAAUGUUCAUCCCUUGACGGUAUCUAACCAGAAAGCCACGGCUAACUACGUGCCAGCAGCCGCGGUAAUACGUAGGUGGCAAGCGUUGUCCGGAUUUAUUGGGCGUAAAGCGAGCGCAGGCGGUUUCUUAAGUCUGAUGUGAAAGCCCCCGGCUCAACCGGGGAGGGUCAUUGGAAACUGGGAGACUUGAGUGCAGAAGAGGAGAGUGGAAUUCCAUGUGUAGCGGUGAAAUGCGUAGAUAUAUGGAGGAACACCAGUGGCGAAGGCGGCUCUCUGGUCUGUAACUGACGCUGAGGCUCGAAAGCGUGGGGAGCGAACAGGAUUAGAUACCCUGGUAUUCCACGCCGUAAACGAUGAGUGCUAAGUGUUGG